rnacentral:rRNA from 1 species
GACAGAGGGGGCAAGCGUUGCUCGGAAUCACUGGGCGUAAAGGGCGCGUAGGCGGGAUGGCAAGUCAGUCGUGAAAUCUCUCGGCUCAACCGAGAAACGUCGGCUGAUACUGCCGUUCUUGAGGGAUGCAGUGGAGACUGGAAUUCCCGGUGUAGUGGUGAAAUGCGUAGAGAUCGGGAGGAACACCCGUGGCGAAGGCGGCCAACUGGGAUACACCUGACGCUGAGGCACGAAGGCGUGGGGAGCGAACGGG